CGUAAAAGCGCAUGCAGGCGGCCUGUUAAGUCAGAUGUGAAAGACCCGGGGCGUUAACCUCGGAAUUGCAUUUGAAACUGGCAGGCUAGAGUCUUGUAGAGGGGGGUAGGAAUUUCAGGUGUAGCGGUGAAAUGCGUAGAGAUCUGAAGGAAUACCAGUGGCGAAGGCGGCCCCCUCGGACAAAGACUGACGCUCAGAUGCGAAAGCGUGGGGAGCAAACAGGAUUAGAUACCCUGGUAG
rnacentral:rRNA from 1 species